rnacentral:lncRNA from 1 species
GAGUUGGGGGAGAGGACCAGAACCACCUGCUGGAGAAGGGGAGCUACGGGGGCCGGGCAGGGUCCAAACGCCUCACGUAGGCGGCGGCGCCACGGUCUUCGGGGUCACAGGGAAGAGAAGGGCUCUCCUCAAGCGGGUGGAAGGAGGGAGGCCUCCCGAGGGAGUGAGACUCUAGGCCACUCCCCCGCAGCAAGGCAGGAUCACCUGCGACGCGGAGAGCGGUUAGAGGGCCCUGGAGUGGAAAAGGGCAGUGGGACCUGGUAGCUUGGGUUCCCUGCAACUUGGGGUUCGACCUCCAGGCAAUGAAGUAGGGAUGGUCCUGCAAGUCAAGAUUCCAGUAGCAAGAGUGCAUCAGAUCUCUGUAAGGAAAAUAACUAACAUUGCUCAGUUCCCUGUAGAGUUGCAGGGCGCUUUAACGUUAUCUCCCUUGGUUCUCCAUCAGGUCGUAGUGGACUAAUUUUACAGGCGAAGUUAAGUGACUUACCCAAAACCUCACAGCUAAUAAACGGCAGAGCCGGCACCCAGCUGUACUGGCUUCCAAUUCUGUUAGCUUACCAGCGCAUCACAUUAUCUCCAUAAAUCCCCAUGAUUCAACUAAUAUUAGACGCCCCACAGGUAAGAUGCUUCAGAGUUAGAGGGGAGUUGAAGAUACCUUUGCCUUCAAAGAAGUAAGGAAUAAAACAAAGAUAAAACAGACAAUAAAAGACAAACCAUGAUAGGUGCCACGUGAAAAGUGGCAGAGUACUGCCGGGAAUCAAAGAACCGUGUAUAUCUGUCUUGGGGAUAAGGAAAGAAAGGCAGCAUGAAGGAGUAGGCAUUUGGGAUUGACCUUGAAGGAGACAGGGAGAGUUUUACAGCAAGCAGGGAUAGCAUGAGAAUAUAUAUGAAGGCGAAUCAGUGAAAGUUGUGUUGGGGAAAGAGCAAAGACUCCAGGGUAUGUUGAGAGGUAGAAAAGACAAAGGAGUAUGGGGCCUAAGAUACCAAAUGGAUGAAUUUAUAUUUAAUUCAGUAUUUUGAGUUUUUAUGGUUCAGAAGUUUGGGGGAAGAAAAGGAAGGUUUUUUUUUUUCUUUGUGCUAGUGAUUUAUCUGUGAGGGGAAGCAGAAAUCAGAGGUGGAAAAACGGACAGAUCUACUGUAGGCCAGGUAAAAAUGAUGAGUCUGACCUAAAGGGACAGCUAGGGGAAUUUAAAAGAGCAUAGUUGAGAGAUGAUGUGCAUGCAGUAUCUAUAGAAUUUGGCAACUGAUUGAUUAAUUGUGGGUAGGAAGAGAGAAAUCAAAGAAAGUGGAGGUUUUGAGUUUGUAGAUAAUUGCAAGAGAGAAAAGAGACAAUUACAAAGGAGAGGGAGCUACUUCUUGAGAGAUCAGUUUAGAUUUGGACAUUUUAAGAAUUCAAAGGGUUGUCAAGACAGCCAGAGAGACAUGGACACUAAUAAGUUAGAAAUAAAGGUUUUGUAAUAUGGGAAAGAGGACUGAACUAGAAAAUAGACUCAUAAAUAAUCAGCCUAGGAGUGAUAUUGCUGUGAGAUAAAAGAAGAAAACAAAGGUCAGAAUCUUGGAAAACACCCUCUUUAGAGUCUCGCUACUCAAAACGUGGUCAGUGGCCCAGCAGCACUGACAUGAGGAUGUUAGUUAGAAACUCAGAAUCUCAGGCUCCACCCCAGACCUGCUGAACCAGCAUCUUCAACUUAACAAGAACCCGAAGAGAUUUGUGUCACAUCAAAAAGUUUGAGAAGCUCUGAUCUAGGUGAGCCAAGCCAGCAAAGAAAGGGGAUGGAGCAGAAAAUGGGAGGAGAAUAGGGUAACGCAGAAUCAUCAAGACAAGGUAAAUUGGAGUUUCACAAAAACAGGGCUGGAAGGAGUGUUGCUCAACAAUAUCCAAAACCACAGAGGUUGAAAAGCACAAGGAAAGAAGGUAUGUUUGCACUUUGUGAUUAGGUAGUAGGGUCUUUGAGACCACAUUGUUCUUAUUGAAAGCCUGGGAAGAAAGAUCCCCUUUCUGGUCAAGUUUAGUCUAGGGAUCCAUCCCAUCUUCCCCAGUUCCCACGUGUAUGGGACAUGUCGAGAUAAGUAGAUAGAUUGGACAGUGGGAGAAAGUAGUUCUCUUCCAGUUGCUUCUAUUUUCUCAGCAAAGUGAGGAGCAAGAUCAUUUUGGCAGACUGCUAAUUGUCCAUCACAAUUUAGUCUCCCUUUCUCCCUGAAAACACAGACUGCUUUUCUCAGCCUCUCUUUCAGUUGCAUAUGGUCAAGUAUUAAGUUAUAGAACGUGAGCAGAUGUUAUGUCUGCCACUGUCAGGCCAAGGCGUUUACUUUGAGAGUACUUGUGCCUCUUUCAUGCAUUUUCCUUUCUGCCAGCUGGACCCUGGACACGGUGACUCUGAUUCAAUUAUGCAGAUGACCACAAACCUCUGGGGUUGGCAGAGCCACAAGAAAGAAGGUGCCUGGAUGAAGGAGAGCUACCCACUGACCUGGACACCCAAUUAUAGGAUAGACAGUGAAGUGCAACUACAGCCCGCAAAUGAAAAUGAAUAAUAUUAAUCCAGCCCCUCAAGGCAGGCGAGUAGCUGCUGUCAUCUGUCUUAGAGCUAUUGGAAUCCUGGAUCAUUGUGGGAAAUGAAAGACGAGAAACCCCAGCUGAGGAGGCAAAUAUACUCAAGGAAAGUAAUAGUUUCCAAAUGCCUGGCAGUGCCAGGAAGGGGCCAUGUCCAUGGACCACUAUGUAAGGAUAUCUCAGUCUCUAGUCCAGCGUGGUUUAUGGUGCCAAAUAAGUGCCAGGUGAACUCACUACAUCUGACAAAAUCUCAAGGAACCAAGUUUACCAGAUAAUAUUUAUGAUUAUGUGAAAAAGACUGAGGAAAUCACUCAAGUGAUCCAUCAUACAGCACCUCCAGUUCCAAAGAAUACUG